UACGUAGGGGGCGAGCGUUGUCCGAAGUUACUGGGCGUAAAGCGCGCGUAGGCGGGAAAUUAAGUGAGAAGUGAAAGGCUGGGGCUCAACCUCAUGCAGUGCUUCUCAUACUGGUUUUCUUGAGGGCGGUAGAGAAAAGUGGAAUGGCUGGUGUAGCGGUGAAAUGCGUAGAUAUCAGUCGGAACACCGGUGGCGAAGGCGGCUUUUUGGGCCGUUCCUGACGCUGAGG
rnacentral:rRNA from 1 species